GGGGGGGGCAAGCGUUGUUCGGAAUUACUGGGCGUAAAGGGCUCGUAGGUGGCCAACUAAGUCGGACGUGAAAUCCCUCGGCUUAACCGGGGAACUGCGUCCGAUACUGGUUGGCUUGAGUUUGGGAGAGGGAUGCGGAAUUCCAGGUGUAGCGGUGAAAUGCGUAGAUAUCUGGAGGAACACCGGUGGCGAAGGCGGCAUCCUGGACCAAUACUGACGCUGAGGAGCGAAAGCCAGGGGAGCAAACGGGAUUAGAUACCCCGGUAGUCCUGGCCCUAAACGAUGAAUGCUUGGUGUGGCGGGUAUCGAUCCCUGCCGUGCCGAAGCUAACGCAUUAAGCAUUCCGCCUGGGGAGUACGGUCGCAAGGCUG
rnacentral:rRNA from 1 species